ensembl:lncRNA
CUGACGUAUAAAAUUACAUUGAUUAGGACAGUCGGUCACUCAUAUCUUAAUCCAAACCAGGAUGUUUCUACUUUCUGGGACUCCUUCAUCCAGAACCGUGGAGGUCAGAUGACCUUGACUCAUCCAGAUGUUCCAGAUGCUUCAUUCUGUCCCUGCUGUUCCCCCAGAUGCUGUGAAGAAGCCGUGGGAACGAUCCAACUCCGCAGAGAAGUCCUCUCUGGUGUCCAGAGUCAGGCCGAUCGGCAGCACCAGCGAGUCGGACACGGAGUUCGACCGGAUGAAGCAGGUUCCUAUUCCGCCUCCUUCUGCGUCACACUCGUCUCUUUGUUUUCAGUUUUACACACUCCGUUUGUUGCUUUGCAGGAAAUUCUGGACGAAGUUGUGCGCGAGCUGCAUAAGGUGAAAGACGAGAUCAUAAACGGUGAGACCGCAGCCUCUCGUUAUUAAUAUUUUCCACCGAGCAGGUUUUACAGCCUGACGCUCGUAAAGUUUACAGCCUGAGUGCAGCUGAGCGAAGUCCUCCCUCUGCGCUCUUCUCUUCCAGCCAUCAGACAAGAAAUCGGCAGAAUCGGUACGUCCUAAUCCCCCGUGAUGGAGGAGGAGGAGGAGGAGGAGGCGGCGGAGAGCGGCAGGAGGAGCUGGAGGAGGAGGGACAUGCAGAUGCACAGACCCGAGGACCAGGGAAUGUUCUCUCAAUGUUUCUGUGACCUGGAGACGCCACGGGGCGAGUUGCAGAGAUGUUGUGCCAACAUUGAAGUCUGCUGGACAGCAAAAGACGAAGAGAGGAGGGAAGAGACGGAGCGAUGAGGAGGAGGGGGGGGGGAGGGGUUCACCGGGAGGAUGGCCGGACGCUGGCUUUGUGAUGGAGGCGGGAGGAAGUGAGGGACGACGGACGACGGACGGUCCUCUCUGCGCUCCUCCGCCCAGUCGGCCCCGCGGCGCCACUCUGUGUUCUCUGUUCAGUCCGGGUCUUGAGAAGAAAAUAUUUUUGUUUUCUAAGUUUUUACUGUUUUAUUAUUUAAAAACUGUGGUGAUAAUGACGAUGCUGUUGAUGACAAUGAGUAUUUUAUUGAUAUUAUAGAAGGAAAAAGGAAUCUUGCACACCGUUUAUGUCAGCCUUUUCUAUUUCGGAUGGUUUGUGUUGAGUUCGUCCCUGAGUAGCUAACUGUCUGACGAUUACAAGCACAACGUGGGCGGAACGGUGCCGCAGACCCACCGGCCCUCAACCGGCGUCAUGAAGAAAGCUUUUCACCGCCUUGCUCAUACUGGCGUUGUGCGUUUAACCUUUUCCCGCCAAACAGAAAAAAAAAAAAACUGUAAUCAACUUCAAUUACUGCUUUCCUCAGUAUCCAAGAAACGCAAUCCAACAGUGACUGAGUUACCGGAGCAGAGCAGCCCCAGUACGGCCGAGUCGUCUCUCUCCAGCCGUCCAGAUGCGUGGGGAUCGUUCACUGAACAGGCCCACAACUGUAAAUGUGCCACCUGGUUUUACCUAGAUAUAAAACUGUAGUCCAAUCUAGUAGUCACCCUAUGCUUUGUGAGCCUCCCGAGUAUGCAUGAAACCCUCCGUCUCUUAAAAAAUUACUUUUUUCUUUAUUUGGUUUGGGGAAGAAGAAGAAGAAGAAGAAAAAAAAGUCAAAUAUAUAUAAACGGUGGUACAUUUAUUAUAGUGGUUUGUUUCUAUGAAGGUUCCCCUCUCUUUAUAUGAGCUGUUGAUAAUGGUAGCGAUGUGAAGGGAGGAAAAAAAAAAAGAAAAGGGAGGCGCUCCGGCGAUAUGCAAAUAGAUAAGAAUGUGCAGAAAGUGAAGCGUAGGCCGACGUGAUGGUAGCUCGAUGUGUGUGUGCAGGAGGAUCCGGGGGAUUAUCGGUUGUUGCAUUCUAUCCACUCUGUCCGCUCUCAAAUACCUUCUCAUUUAAAAGCUGGAAGUAAAUUUGUUCAAACAAACACGUGUCAACAAUCCACGCCAUGUCCUUCACUU